ACACUGGCAGACAAUGCAUGUAAUUAAGGUGGAAUACAUUCUCAUAAAUGUUUGUUUCUGUCUGCUAAUUGUUUUAGUGACUAUUAGAAGAUGUCUUGUGGUCAGUCUGGAGAACAAUAGCAAGGAUUCCUAAAACCUCACUGAGAAGCAGCUCAGGAGCAUGGCACGAAGACAGUGCUGGACCGUGCAGCCACAGCCUUGGGAAGCAGAGAAAGACGGAGGUAGGCUGGGAGUUGAAUAUCCCGGCCGGGCUCAAGGCUAAGCUCAACUCAACAGCCCAAGAUGAAGCUUAACUCUGGAUCCUCUCCCUGUGUCUACGUGGACCAGGUGUCUAGCCAGGGCAUGAUCAUCUCAUGGCAACAACAUGAGGGACAAGAGAACAAACCCCAACCAUAUACACAACCAGAAUCCCAGCUGAAUGGAUUCACUCAGUCUUGAGAUCCAGACUGGUCCAGGAUAUGCAAUCAACAUCUUUCUGAACUCUUAGAGGAUUGGAGGACAUUUACAGGUAAUAUGGAAAUAGAAAACCCUCAAUGCCUUUCCAAUUCUAGUAGAGCAAGAAAUCACAGGCUGAAUCCCUACAACUGCCCAAGACAGUUACAGGAUUCUUGAUUGUUUCUCAUGGUCCUUGUUUUAUGCUACUAUACCUGUGAAAUGUUCUGGAAGCAGGCUCCCUAGGAUCACAUCUAGACUAUACUAUUCACUAAUUGUGGGAUCCAGUCACUUAAACUGGCUCCAUUUGCUCACAAAUAAUGUGAGGAUAAUAUUUUGUAACUCAUAGAGUUGUUAGCAGGAAGUAAGAUAUAUGUAUAAAGCUGCUUGCCAUAGUGCCCAGCACACAUUAAAUAAUAAAUGUCAGCUAUUGAUAUUGUUAUUCUAUCA
rnacentral:lncRNA from 1 species